AUAUCGGGAAUCAUUUUAUCCAAAAAAGAAUGACAAGGAUCAGCAGAUUAAGCCUCUGCCCCUGCCAGAGGGCUCAAAGGGCAGGAAAAGGCAGUGAGAGAAGGAGAGACAGAAACCAAGAUGACAGUGCAGAGGAGGCAUGGGGAUGAGAUCACACACGGAGCCCUCACAGGGAAUGAGUUGGGGUCAUUUGAUGUUCAUAUUAGAAGCUGCAGGUUCUGCCUUCCACUGGGGCUGAUGGCACAAGAGCACUGUUACAUUUUACCUGCUGCCUUUGAGCUUGAGGUUGGGUGGUAAACCAUUCUUCACUGUUCUUAGCGGCUUUAUUUCUCAUAGAGUCAUGUGUUGCUUAACAACGGGGCUACAUUCUGAGAAAUGCAUCAUUAGGUGAUUGUGGUCAUUGUGGGAGCAUCACAGAGUGCACCUACACAGUCCUAGAUGGGGUAGCCUACUGCACACCAAGGCUACAUGGUGUAUAGCCUGUUGCUCCUAGAAUACAAACCUGGACAGCAUGGUACCGGGCUGAAUACUGUAGGCAACUGUAACACAAUGGUAAAUGUGUAUCUGAACAUAGAAAAG
rnacentral:lncRNA from 10 species